rnacentral:lncRNA from 1 species
UCCGUGGCAUUUAAAAGGACCAACCCUCUUCUGCGCGUUCAAACAACAGCAUCGGGUCUUCAGAUCACGCACCUCUUUUGUCAAAUACGUCGUGAGACAUGGACAGCUUCUUUGCCAAGUACCUUGCUAUGGGGCUUGCUAGUGCACUGGUUGCGCUGAUCAUUGCCCCCUACAGCGCUGAAGCGGUUGCUCCCGGCGCAAUCGAAGCUGCAGCAAAUGCACUUGCAAACCUUUUUGGUAGGAACGAGGAAAAGUCCGAGGAGUAAGGUGUUCGCCAACGUAUAACCAUGUGGCAAUCCUCCAGUGCGUGAAAGCUCAGGCCUUAUAAAAUUCAACGAAUUCGACGAAGCAAAAAACUGCUGUAGACACAAUAAAUGUCUCAUAAACAUUGGAAAAUAAUAAAUAUUACCGCAUCAUAAUGUUGACAAUUUUUU